UACGGGGGGAGCAAGCGUUGUUCGGAUUUACUGGGCGUAAAGGGCGCGUAGGCGGUCGUGACAAGUCACUUGUGAAAUCUCCGGGCUUAACUCGGAACGGUCAAGUGAUACUGUCGGACUAGAGUACAGAAGGGGCAACUGGAAUUCUCGGUGUAGCGGUGAAAUGCGUAGAUAUCGGGAGGAACACCUGUGGCGAAGGCGGCCCCCUGGUUGGAUACUGACGCUGAGACGCGAAAGCGUGGGGAGCAAACAGG
rnacentral:rRNA from 1 species